UCUUUCUUCUUUCCUUAUUAUUUUUUUCUUUCUUCCGCCUAAGACACGAACAGAGAGUGAGCGAGAGACUGAGGGAGAAAGAGAGAUGCUGACAGGGAGAGACAGAGAGAUGAGAAGAGAGAGAGAGAGAUCCGAGAGAUCAAGAGAGAGAGAGGGAGGUCGCUGGGAGAGAGAGAGACCGAACCCGGGAGAAGACCAAGACUGGAAACCCGAAUUCCGGUGGGUCGACGGCGGGCCAACGGUGUCGUCCAGCAGAGCAGGACACGAUUCCGGCGAGGUAGAGUGAUUUUCGGCCGAAUCCAGACCCAAUUUCCGGCGAACCAGAGACGAAUCGGCCGCCUGAGAUGUGAAUUCCGGUCGAGCCAGUGGCGUUUUUCGGUGGGUCAUCAGAGAACGAUUUCUCCGGUGGAUUUUCUGUGUUGAACGGAAAUUCCUUUGUAAAAUCUCGACACUGACGUUAAUGGAAAAUCCAGAUGACACAGUAAGACGAGGGUAUUUCUUGUAAAGGUGUAUAUCUCGCUAAGAGAAAUGGAUCGUUGUGGACCGACUAUUGUAUAGUAUAUCCCUUUUUGGGGUUUAUGCUUUGUAAUUAAUUAAUUAUAGGUUGUAAUAAUAAAAUAGAAAUUUCAAAUCUCUAUAUUAUAAAUGUACAUGUUUUUAGCACUCAAGUUCGCGUUUCCCUUAUAUACCAAAACGAGGGCGUGACAUCUUCAUUAAACUUAAUUCAGUCUCCACGUCCGGACGGUGUUGCUCUAGUGUCUAGACGGUUGCAUGCUGUCUUCAACAACAGUGUCUGCUGAGCUGUCCAGAAUCUUCUCAAACACUGAUGGGCGUCCGGAAGUUUCUCUGGGCUAUCCGGAUGGCAACAAGGGAACUGACUUUUGCUAAGUUGUAAACUGUGCAUAAUCUUCUUGGAAUCCGAAAAUUUCCUUCUUGAUGCUUGUGACA